rnacentral:rRNA from 1 species
UACAGAGGGCGCGAGCGUUGUCCGGAAUCACUGGGCGUAAAGGGCGCGUAGGUGGCCUCAUAAGGCCGCGGUGAAAGUCUGGGGGCUCAACCCCGGAUCGGCCGCGGCGACUGUGAAGCUUGGGCACCGUAGAGGCAGAUGGAAUUCCGGGGUGUAGCGGUGGAAUGCGUAGAGAUCCGGAAGAACACCAGUGGCGAAGGCGGGUCUGCUGGGCGGUGGGGACAGCAAUGUCCCCUGUGCCGACACUGAGGCGCGACACGUGGGGGAGCAAACAGG